GGGCGGUUAGCUCAGUUGGUAGAGCACUCGCUUGACGUGCGAGUGGUCAGAAGUUCGAAUCUCCUACCGCCCA
rnacentral:tRNA from 1 species